rnacentral:rRNA from 1 species
AGCGAACGCUGGCGGCAGGCCUAACACAUGCAAGUCGAACGAAGUCUUCGGACUUAGUGGCGGACGGGUGAGUAACACGUGGGAACGUGCCUUUAGGUUCGGAAUAACUCAGGGAAACUUGUGCUAAUACCGAAUGUGCCCUUCGGGGGAAAGAUUUAUCGCCUUUAGAGCGGCCCGCGUCUGAUUAGCUAGUUGGUGAGGUAAAGGCUCACCAAGGCGACGAUCAGUAGCUGGUCUGAGAGGAUGAUCAGCCACAUUGGGACUGAGACACGGCCCAAACUCCUACGGGAGGCAGCAGUGGGGAAUCUUGCGCAAUGAGCGAAAGCCUGACGCAGCCAUGCCGCGUGAAUCAUGAAGGACUUAGGAUUGUAAAAUUCUUUCGCCGGGGACGAUAAUGACGGUACCCGGAGAAGAAGCCCCGGCUAACUUCGUGCCAGCCGCCGCCGUAAGAC